rnacentral:rRNA from 1 species
UACAGAGGGGGCAAGCGUUGUUCGGAAUUACUGGGCGUAAAGGGCGCGUAGGCGGCCUGUUAAGUCGAACGUGAAAUCCCCGGGCUCAACCCGGGAACUGCGUCCGAUACUGGCAGGCUUGAAUCCGGGAGAGGGAUGCGGAAUUCCAGGUGUAGCGGUGAAAUGCGUGGAUAUCUGGAGGAACACCGGUGGCGAAGGCGGCGAUCCUGGACCGGUAUUGACGCUGAGGCGCGAAAGCCAGGGGAGCAAACGGG